GGGUAGGUGGCCGAGUGGUUAAAGGCGACGGACUGUAAAUCCGUUCUCACUGAGUACGAUGGUUCGAAUCCAUCCCUGCCCACCA
rnacentral:tRNA from 2 species